GACGUAGGAGGCGAGCGUUAUCCGGAUUCACUGGGCGUAAAGCGCAUGUAGGCGGUUUGGUAAGUCCGUUGUUAAAGCCCCCGGCUCAACUGGGGGAGGUCAAUGGAGACUCCCAGACUUGAGGGCAACAGAGGCACAUGGAAUUCCUGGUGUAGCGGUGAAAUGCGCAGAUAUCAGGAGGAACACCAAUUGCGAAGGCAGCUCGCUGGGACGUUACUGACGCUGAGACGCGAAAGCGUGGGGAGCAAACAGG
rnacentral:rRNA from 1 species